GGAUUAGAUACCCUGGUAGUCCACGCCGUAAACGAUGUCAACUAGCUGUUUGUGUUCUUGAAACGUGAGUAGCGUAGCUAACGCGCUAAGUAGACCGCCUGGGGAGUACGGCCGCAAGGUUAAAACUCAAAUGAAUUGACGGGGGCCCGCACAAGCGGUGGAGCAUGUGGUUUAAUUCGAUGCAACGCGAAGAACCUUACCUACACUUGACAUGCAGAGAACUUUCCAGAGAUGGAUUGGUGCCUUCGGGAACUCUGACACAGGUGCUGCAUGGCUGUCGUCAGCUCGUGCCG
rnacentral:rRNA from 1 species